rnacentral:rRNA from 1 species
GACCCAACAGCUAGCCCCA